rnacentral:rRNA from 1 species
AUUGAACGCUGGCGGCAUGCCUUACACAUGCAAGUCGAACGGCAGCACGGGGCAACCUGGUGGCGAGUGGCGAACGGGUGAGUAAUGCAUCGGAACGUACCUUUCAGUGGGGGAUAACGUAGCGAAAGUUACGCUAAUACCGCAUAUUCUGUGAGCAGGAAAGCAGGGGAUCGCAAGACCUUGCGCUGAUUGAGCGGCCGAUGUCAGAUUAGCUAGUUGGUGAGGUAAAGGCUCACCAAGGCGACGAUCUGUAGCGGGUCUGAGAGGAUGAUCCGCCACACUGGAACGGAGACACGGUCCAGACUCCUACGGGAGGCAGCAGUGGGGAAUUUUGGACAAUGGGGGCGACCCUGAUCCAGCCAUGCCGCGUGAGUGAAGAAGGCCUUCGGGUUGUAAAGCUCUUUCGGCCGGGAAGAAAUCGCACGGGCUAAUACCCUGUGUGGAUGACGGUACCGGAAUAAGAAGCACCGGCUAACUACGUGCCAGCAGCCGCGGUAACAC